rnacentral:rRNA from 1 species
GACGUAGGGCGCGAGCGUUGUCCGGAUUUAUUGGGCGUAAAGAGCUCGUAGGCGGCUUGUCGCGUCGACUGUGAAAUCCCGCGGCUCAACUGCGGGUCUGCAGUCGAUACGGGCAGGCUAGAGUUCGGUAGGGGGAGACUGGAAUUCCUGGUGUAGCGGUGAAAUGCGCAGAUAUCAGGAGGAACACCGGUGGCGAAGGCGGGGUCUCUGGGGCCGAUACUGACGCUGAGGGAGCGAAAAGCGUGGGGGAGCGAACAGG